GUAACAUUGACCUUUUUAAGGAACUUGUGUUUCCUUUAACAGUUGUGGUAAAAAACUUUGAGAAACUUAGGCAUUGGGAGGAUCCCCUAUUAACUGCCUCUUCUCUUGCACUCGUAUAUACGAUUAUAUUCAGGAAUAUGCUAUCUUAUAUAUUACCAUCAAUGUUGAUGGGCUUGGCUGCUGGUAUGUUAUUACUUAAGGGGCUCAAGGAACAAGGCCGCCUUGGAAGAUAUUUUGGAAAAGUAACCAUACGUGAUCAACCACCAUCAAAUACUCUACAGAAAAUUAUUGCAGUUAAAGAGGCUUUGCGUGAAGUUGAGAAGUAUAUGCAGAGCUUGAAUGUGUCGCUGCUCAAGAUUCGAGCAAUUAUUCUUGCUGGUCAACCUCAGAUUACGAUGGAAGUCGCUCUGGCUCUACUAUUUGGUGCAACUAUUCUCUUAAUUGUUCCAUUCAAGUACAUAGCUGCUUUCCUGAUUUCUGAUGCAUUCACCCGAGAACUCGCGUUUCGAAGGCAAAUGGUUUUGAGAUUCAUGAGCUUUCUUAAGGAGCGAUGGGAAACAGUGCCUGCCACCCCAGUUGUUGUACUACCAUUCGAGGAAGAUGAGUCCGAUGCACCAAACCAAAGAAAGUUGUCCAGCAAUGACGUAGUAAAACCAGAGAAACAGUUAAAGCAGUAGGUUAUUGUAAAUCUUCUUUUAGGUAACUUUCUUUUCUUUUUUUCCUUUUUUCUUUAUAGUAGGUGGUUACAGCUGGUGUGACGGUUCUAAGAUUGAAGCAGAAACUGUUUUUUG
rnacentral:misc_RNA from 1 species